rnacentral:rRNA from 1 species
AGCAGCCGCGGUAAUUCCAGCUCCAAUAGCGUAUAUUAAAGUUGUUGCAGUUAAAAAGCUCGUAGUUGAAUUUCGGGACCAAUAUGUCGGUCGUGCCUCGGUACGUACUGGUGUCAUUGGUUUCUCCCUUCUGAGGAUCCUUGAUGUCAUUAAUUUGGUGUCUUGGGGAAUCAGGACUGUUACCUUGAAAAAAUUAAAGUGUUUAAAGCAGGCAUGCGCUUGAAUACAUUAGCAUGGAAUAAUGAAAUAGGACGUUCGAUUCUAUUUUGUUGGUUUCUAGGAUCGACGUAAUGAUUAAUAGGGAUAGUUGGGGGCAUUAGUAUUCAAUUGUCAGAGGUGAAAUUCUUGGAUUUAUUGAAGACUAACUACUGCGAAAGCAUUUGCCAAGGAUGUUUUCAUUAAUCAAGAACGAAAGUUAGGGGAUCGAAGACGAUCAGAUACCGUCGUAGUCUUAACCAUAAACUAUGCCGACUAGGGAUCGGAUGAUGUUAAUUUUUUAAUGACUCAUUCGGCGCCUUACG